UUUGCUGCUCUAUAAAAAUAAUUGGACCUUACUUCGAUAACCAUAUAUAUAUAUAUAGAAUUCGUCCUGCAAAUCACAUGCAUGAAUAUGCUCAGCAAAUUUAGAACUUAAAAUGGCCAUUGAAUUUUAAUUAGUUUGUGUUCAUCAAAUGUCUUUUACGCUGAUUUUUAGUAAUUAAUUAUUAUUUUUGUUGGAUAUAAUAUUUAUCUUUCUGUGUGUUGAUUUUCAGUCACUCAAGCUAUUUCAGCCCAGGUACAUAAUUGUAAAUUUCCUUGAUUUUUUUAUUAUUGUCUUCCUCUUUCAAGGUCCUCGUCUAGGGUUUUCAUCUCAGGUACUCUCUCUCUCUCUCUCUCUCUCUCUCUCUCUCUCUCUCUCUCUCUCUCUCUGGGUUUUACCUUCGGAUCUUUGUUUUGCUGUGUUUUGUUUUUGGCUUCUUCAUUUAAUCUUUAUAGAUGAAAUAUUAAAUUUUGACUUAAAUUGGUUGAAUCAGAAGGAAAAUGUUCUUCUUAUUGAAUAAAAAUUGAUUCCUUUUUAUUGUGGUUUCUGUUGUGGUGACAGUACAUAAAUCUGAAGAAAGGAAAAAGUUUCAGCCAUGAGUAAGCUUCAGAGUGAUGCCUUGAGGGAAGCCAUAACCAAGGUCUCUCUCUGUACACAUGUAUAUAUGUAUGCUUAUAAUUGUUUGUAUUUUAGUAUCUGUGAUUAUGGCACUGAUGGUGUUUCUAUUGACAAGUUGCAGUUAAAUUGGCUCAAUGUUCAACUUGAAAAA